UACGUAGGUGGCAAGCGUUGUCCGGAAUUAUUGGGCGUAAAGCGCGCGCAGGCGGUCCUUUAAGUCUGAUGUGAAAGCCCACGGCUCAACCGUGGAGGGUCAUUGGAAACUGGGGGGCUUGAGUGCAGGAGAGAAGAGUGGAAUUCCACGUGUAGCGGUGAAAUGCGUAGAGAUGGGGAGGAACACCAGUGGCGAAGGCGACUCUUUGGCCUGUAACUGACGCUGAGGCGCGAAAGCGUGGGGAGCAAACAGG
rnacentral:rRNA from 1 species